CAGUGUCUUAAUUAGAAAGAUGAGAUAUGGGUAUAAAAUUCAAUAUAUUCAUGAAUGUAGGUUUACAUUUUAUUAUAAAAAAGAAAUUACAGCAACACUGUAUGAUAUGAGAGACGCACAGGACUAUUCCUUCUAAUUCCCCAACAAUCAUCUGCAGCUCCCUUAUUUGUUACCCGGGUGCAUCUAAUAUGAUACAUUUUUGCUUUUAGACUAUAGCAUGCCAUUACAAUCAUCUCCAGCUGGUACAAAUGUUUAUUAGUUUACGUCACCUGAUCGGCAUCGGUUGAUUGCACUACAACCGCGAUUGUAUUUGUUACUCGGAGGUGGGAGACACCCCUGUCCACUGCAAUUCGGUUCACCAGUACUGCCUUGCGGAUCAUGCACACUGUCCUCCGACGCAUUGACCAUUAUGGAGCACACAAGAAGUGCUCCUAGGGCAAAGGCGAUUAAUUUUUGUGACAAUGCCAUUGUUUGCCAACGUUUAAUUGAUAGUAGGCGAGAAAUUCUUCGGAAUUUAUAGGGAGAGCUACGAAUAUUUCUGGACAUAAGUUGAAGCUUUGUAUUUCAUUAAUUUGUUUAUGUGAACCAAAUUAAUCAUUUGCAGCUUCUUGUUUACAUUCUAUGGAAAUAGUGGUCUCC
rnacentral:lncRNA from 1 species